GCUCUCGUAGCUCAGUGGAUUAGAGCGCUUGCUUGCGGAGCAAUAGGUCGCAGGUUCGAGUCCUGCCGGGAGCACCA
rnacentral:tRNA from 2 species